GCACUACUGAGGAGUCCCACAAUAGGACAAAACGGCCGUCCAAUGC
rnacentral:hammerhead_ribozyme from 1 species